rnacentral:rRNA from 1 species
AACGAACGCUGGCGGCAUGCCUAACACAUGCAAGUCGAACGAGAAAUUCGGGUAUCGUGGCGCACGGGUGCUUCGCGCGAGUGACACUGCCCUUAGGUUCGCCAUAACCCCCCGAAAGGGGUGCUAAUGCCGGAUAAUAUCUUCGGGACCAAGAUUUAUCGCCUUUGGAUGGGCCGGGGUUGGGUUCGAUUGUUGGUAGGGUAAAAGCCUACUAAGGCUACGUUCCAUAGCUGGUCUGAGAGGAUGACCGGCCACACUGGGACUGAGACACGGCGCAGACUCCUACGGGAGGCAGUAGGGGGGAAUAUUGGACGAUGGGCGAGAGCCUGAGCCAGCAAGGCCGCGUGAGUGAGGAAGGCGUGAGGGUAGUAAAGCUAGUUUACCCGGGAAGAUAAUGACAGUACCGGGAGAAGAAGCACCGGCUAACUCCGUG